rnacentral:lncRNA from 1 species
GAAGGUUCUUGGAUGGUAACAAAGCUGACGAGGUAGCCCCUAGUAGGUUUAUUGGUUCUUCAUGAAUUACCUCUUCCUACAAGAAAGAUGUAAGUUGGCAUGAUGGUGAAAUUAUGAGUGUUUCAGUUCAAAGUUUUACCUGAAUCAAUGACAGUGGUUGUUGUGGUUCGGAUCGUGCUGCCCUAGUAGAUUUUCAUUUUCUAAAUGAGGAGCCGAUACUGAAUAUGGUGGUGUUUGGAGCAAAAGGGAAAAUUAGCAAAAGUGAUAUUUUAAAAAGUAAAGAAAGCAAAGAUUGUACCCUUGAUGCUGAUCCGAUGUGUGGCUGUUGCUGAGUAUCUGUGGUAAGCAACUUGCAUUUGCCAACAGAGGAAGUGCCCUUGAGGAGAGCAGAUACAGGUGGGGCAUCGAAUCCCAAAAUUAGAGUAGGAGUCGACGAACCAUAAUCAAUCGGCCGGCCUCUACUACUCAUAAUGGGGCUCUCAUUAUCAUAUUCAUCCUGGAAUGAAAUAGAAAGCAAGAUAAGGGAUAAAAGGGAUGAUAAAAGUUAUGGAAGGCUGAAAUCAGGAAUAUUACCUCAAUGAUCAAGACAUAUCCUGGAAAGAUCUUCUUACAAUAAUAGGUGGCCGGUUUGUUGGCUAGAUGUUCACACCAUUCCUUCCACCAUCAGACGAAGAGCCUUGAUGCAUAUCCCAUGAGACGUUUCCAGCCCAUGAGUGCAGGGAAUGGCAGCGAAGAAGUCAAAUUCCUCAUCCUGUCAAAUU